UACGUAGGGGGCAAGCGUUGUCCGGAUUUAUUGGGCGUAAAGAGCGUGUAGGCGGUCUGGUAGGUCCGUUGUGAAAACUCGAGGCUCAACCUCGAGACGCCGAUGGAAACCCUCAGACUAGAGUCCGGAAGAGGAGAGUGGAAUUGCCGGUGUAGUGGUGAAAUGCGCAGAUAUCGGGAGGAACACCAGUGGCGAAGGCGGCACUCUGGGCCGGAACUGACGCUGAGGAGCGAAAGCGUGGGGAGCGAACAGG
rnacentral:rRNA from 1 species